AGCGAACGCUGGCGGCAGGCUUAACACAUGCAAGUCGAGCGGGCACUUCGGUGUCAGCGGCAGACGGGUGAGUAACACGUGGGAACGUACCCUUUGGUUCGGAAUAACGCUGGGAAACUAGCGCUAAUACCGGAUACGCCCUUUUGGGGAAAGGCUUGCUGCCGAAGGAUCGGCCCGCGUCUGAUUAGCUAGUUGGUGGGGUAAUGGCCUACCAAGGCGACGAUCAGUAGCUGGUCUGAGAGGAUGAUCAGCCACACUGGGACUGAGACACGGCCCAGACUCCUACGGGAGGCAGCAGUGGGGAAUAUCGGACAAUGGGCGCAAGCCUGAUCCAGCCAUGCCGCGUGAGUGAUGAAGGCCUUAGGGUUGUAAAGCUCUUUUGUCCGGGACGAUAAUGACGGUACCGGAAGAAUAAGCCCCGGCUAACUUCGUG
rnacentral:rRNA from 1 species